AAACCAGUUGCCGUGCACGUGGGUCUUGUUUGCUCGGGAAUAUUCUCAUCCUAAACAAGAGCACUCCAAGCCUUCUCUCUCCCUGCUCUCUUCUCUCUCCCUGGGUGGGCUCCAUUCCUGGAAAGGGGGGUUGGAUAUAGUGCUUCUGAACCUAUGCGUGUGGCAAUUUGUGAAGCUUCCUGACAUUCCUUGGCAUUCUCUCCUACAACUUCUCAAGGUAGUAUUGGAUAGGGUUGGGCUCUCUGAAAGCCAAAGGCUGGGCCAGUACCUGCCAGGAUCUCACAAUCUCCCAUUGUGCCUGUGCUGUGACUUCACCAUCCUGAAAACCCACCAGGUGACAGUAGGGGCAGGAUUUCCCCCAUGUCCUUUCCCAUCCUGAGAAUAUGUUUUUUUCAGAGUCCAAUUUAGGCUCAAAUCCUGGCCCUGGGAUCUUCUUUGUGACAGGUAUCCUCAGUUUCAUCUUUGGACCCUGCAUCUUCCUUUUUCUCAUUUUCCUGGUGAUUCGGCCGUGCAGAAAGAAAAUAAAAUGCAAAGGUUGGUUUUCACGGUCUUCAGAGAAAGAAGGUCUGGAAGAGGAGAAACUCCUGAAUGAAGAAGAGCUUGUAUGUGAGAAUGUUGAGAUUGGAGUCAAUGGGGUGUCAUCUGAAGAACAAAUAUGCCUAUAUUGAAGCUCCUAUUACAUUUUGGUCCAGGCUAGACGUUCAGAAAAUAUCACUGCCUACAUCAGGAUAGGACAGUGCUAACUUGUGGUCUAUCUUUAUAUAAAAUGUCCAAUAAUAAAUACUUGGGUCCUUCCAGACCA